rnacentral:rRNA from 1 species
UACGUAGGGUGCGAGCGUUGUCCGGAAUUACUGGGCGUAAAGAGCUCGUAGGCGGUCUGUCGCGUCGGCUGUGAAAACUCGGGGCUCAACCCCGAGCCUGCAGUCGAUACGGGCAGACUAGAGUGCGGUAGGGGAGACUGGAAUUCCUGGUGUAGCGGUGAAAUGCGCAGAUAUCAGGAGGAACACCGGUGGCGAAGGCGGGUCUCUGGGCCGUAACUGACGCUGAGGAGCGAAAGCGUGGGGAGCAAACAGG